UUCUUCUUAGCAUUGUGUGUGUACGUUCGCUCAGCUGUUCUGGUCAGAAGCGAUCGCGGCUCAUCCGAUUGCACAAAUUUUCGAAGCUUUGGAGUUUAUUUUUAGUAGCAGUGCCAUGUCGUUUUGGUACAAUCCUCGUGGAUUUUUGCUGCGUAAGAGCACGUUGUUCGUUCUCUGAUUUAUUCGAUAUGAAAAAACGUUUUCUUCAUUGAUUGACAGAUUUCGUUCACGAGUUACCACGGUUAUCAGAAAUUUGACAUUAAUCCGGGAUCGAUGUGUUCCGCAAAUUGACGUUUAAUUUUGACCGUAAUAGUUAAGGAUUAACCAUGAAGAAGACACGUUCAAAUAUAUUUCGUGACAUUUAUUAUCAGCCCUACGAUGAUUGCACCAGGAUGAAGCUUUAUUCCAGCAGCAAAGCAAGUCUUCAAAUGAUGCAACGUAUGGCAUUGUUGAAGAGAUUAAAAAUUCACAAUGGUUGUGUAAACUCUGUUUGUUGGAAUGCUACUGGAGAAUUGAUAUUGUCUGGUAGUGAUGACCAUCAUCUUGUCCUUACAAAUGCUUAUAAUUAUGAAGUAUUAACAGACUAUACGACCAGUCAUAGAGCAAAUAUAUUUAGUGCAAAGUUUUUGCCUAAUAGUGGUGAUCAUCGGAUAGUUUCUUGUAGUGGAGAUGGCAUUAUUUUGUAUACAGAUUUAAUGAGAAGAACAAAAACAUUUCAUAAUCAAUUUAAUUGUCAUGUUGGUACUACAUAUGAAAUAGCGACAAUACCCAGUGAGCCGCAUAAUUUUUUAAGCUGUGGGGAAGAUGGAACUGUGAGAUGGUUUGAUCUUAGAAUAAAGGACAAGUGUAAUACUUCAAGGUGUAUGGAGGAUGUGUUAGUUUCUUGUGAAAGAGCUAUAACUGCUCUGUCUGUAAAUCUUGCUUCACCUCAUCAACUAGCGAUAGGUUGUUCUGAUAGUACAGUUAGAAUACUUGAUAGAAGAACACUUGGAACACCAGCUACUGGCUGGACAGAUACGUCUGGAGCUAUAAAGGCCUUAUGUACUUUCACUGUCCCGGAAUUUGAAGGGAAUUCUUACAGAAUGACAUCGUUGAAUUAUAGUCCAGAUGGGCAGGAGGUUCUUGUUAGUUAUAGUAGCAAUUAUCUUUACCUGUUCAAUGUGAAGGACCAAUCUAGUAUACAGUUGAAGAAAGAUGUCGCAAUUAGAAAAGGAGAGGGUAAGAAGCAAAGAUUACGUUCGCCAUUGCCAGUACGUAAACUAAGACUUAGAGGAGAUUGGUCUGAUACCGGUCCCGAUGCUCGACCUGAAUGCGAGGGCGGUCGACGUAGCGGUACAGAAAUUGCUCAAGCCAGACCUGUUCUUCAAACUUCGUUAAUGCAGAGAAUGACUGAUGUCCUCAGUAGAAUGUUAAAUGACCCAGCCACUAGAGCCGCUUUAUGCGGCGGCGGCGAAGAUAGCUUAGAAGGCGUGAUCGAUCAUCAAGAUAACACUCAAAAUAGCAACGAAAGCGUUACGGAAUCGAACGAAGAGAGACGAGACAACGAAACCGAAAGGGUUGAAAGAGCUCCGACUCAGGUUAAUCAAGAAAUAGCUGUUUCAGAGCAACAACCAGAUAGAUUAGAAAGUCCAAGUACUAGCGGUACGCAAAGUAAACCUGGGACAAGUUACUCUGUAGAAACGAAAGAAGAAAUGCCAUCUAAUGAAACAAUGCCUUUGAAGCAAACGAUCGAUGAGAGUUCAUCGUCGGUCGAAUCCAAAUCACAUGUUCCUAUGGAAAUUCCUAUGGAAAGUGUCUCUAGUCAAGUAGAAACACAACAGUGUUUUGUUCAACCAUGUUCAUCGCGUACUAUGGAUAAGUCCAGUGAUCUACCGGAAGAUGAUCAAAGUAGCAAUGAUGACUCUCCUUGUAGCAGUAUGGAAAAUAAACAAGAAGGACACAUGAUGGAAAACCUUCAAGAUAGAUUAACGAAAAUGAGAGUCGGAUUCCUUGAAAAACACGGCAGUGAACCUGCUGUAAGUUUAACUUAUACGGAUAAAAGUUCAUCAAGUGCAACGAUAUCUCUUGGUGUAGCCAAUGAGAUGACCCGUGAUGGUUAUCAUGCGGGACCAUCUGGAAGUAGUGGGACAUUCUCGGGCAGAAAUCAUGACAAACAUAUACGAUAUAGUGAUAUACAAGAAAAGACUGAUGAAAGCGCUUUUAGUGAUAGCGAGGAUGAAGAUAUACAAGCUGGAGGAAGAUUAGGAAGUUUAGCAGAAACAGAAAUGGAGGAAGCUAUGGGAGAUGCUCCAACGCGCCGAAGAUCGACGAAUUUCGACAAAACGUGCGUAACGGAGCUUCGUGUCAAGCAGAAAUAUAUGGGGCACCGUAACGCUAGUUUCUUUAGGACCAUGAUUAAAGAAGCAAACUUUUGGGGCAACGAUUUCGUCAUGUCGGGUAGCGAUUGUGGCCAUGUGUUCAUAUGGGAGAAAGACACGGCCAGAUUAUGCAUGCUACUGGAAGCAGAUCAACAUGUCGUUAACUGUUUGCAACCACAUCCGUAUUUACCAUUGUUGGCCACAGCUGGUAUUGAUUACGAUGUUAAACUUUGGGCACCGAUAAAUGAAGAGUCCAGCUUUGAUGAAAAGUUUGCCGAAGAUUUGAAAAAGAGGAAUGCAGUCAUGUUGGAAGAGACGAAAGACACAAUGACUGUACCGGCUGUUUUUAUGAUCAGAAUGCUGGCAUGUCUCAAUCAGAUACGCAGAGGUAGUGAAAACUUAUAAUACUUUCCAAGCCUUCCGAUAGUACACUACAUUAAUAUGAUCAACGUAAUUAAGAGUAACAUAGUGAAGAAAUUCGGCUGCUUUUUCCCCCGUUUAACGCGCAGGGCGCGGUCGGAACAGGAGGAGGAGCGGCGACGAGGCCGGCGAAUUACGAGGUGGCUAAGCUGCUUUUGGCGAUACUGUCGUCUGUGAAGAUCUCAAUUGGGACAAUUUUUAUCGCAACGCCAGCUAUUCAAAUUUCGAAUUUACCUUCGAAACAAAAAGAAAAAAAAAAAAAAGGAAAAACUAUAAAAAAAAAAAAAAACAGUAAAAUAAGAAUCAGAAAGGGAAAAAGAAGAAUUUAUAUAUUUAUGAUUUAUCGUUGCAACACUACUUCACUGUUAAUUGUAAGGAUAUUUAAUCUGAUAAGCUUUGCGUACGUAUCAUUAUUGCAUCGAGAAAGAUAAGUCGAAUUUUUUUUCUUUACCACUUUUAUUUUCUGUCGCUUCUUUUCUUCUGACUCUGUUUAUACCGCGUGUUUGGUGUAUCAAGCUUGUGCAAUGUAAUUGUUUUUCUCUUCUUUCGAAUUUAUAGAGUUAUUUCGUUUGGAAAGGAAAAUACGAUAAGGUCAAAUAUUUUUGAUAUUUUAUACAGAAUUUUGGUGUCAGGUUCGGAUCUAUAAUUGGAACUAUAAUAUAAUACGUGUUAUUUAGGAUGCAAGUAAAGUGCACUUGUUGAUUAAUUAUUUAUCACACAUGUUUCUCGAUAAUGUUACGCUGUUGUAGUUAAUUGAUAAUUGAUGGGAAAUGCACUUUAUUCGUCCUCUCGUUAAACGAGCCUUAGGGUGCACAAUAAGAUAAUAAAUGUAAUAUAAAUACUAGGGUUCCAUUUAAGAACCUGAACCUUGACAUUUUAUCUUCCUCGCCAAAUUAAACAACUUUAUAUCUCCGAACUUUUUAGAAACGGUUACGUAUUAUACGGUUAAAUUUAACGUUUCCGUGUAUUCUCUUCGUUAAUGUUCAAUUUAUAUGCAGUUCAAAGUUAAAAAAUUCCACCGUGCCUGUUUCACGGUCACUUGUUUUCAUUUUCUUUUCUUUGUUUUCUUUUCCGUGUGAUGAAAUAAUGAAGUUAACGAAGAUUGGCCGAUUUUUUGGGGUAACUUAUUGACACAUAGAGCAACAUAGGCAAUCGCUAAGUUUGUAGAUUCGUUCGCUCAGUUCGAUAAAGUAGGAAUGCUUGCGACGUAGAGACGCUUGCAGAGAGAUCGGAGAACGCGAGCAUCGUUUUUCGAAAGAAUGAUGUUCAGGCACUCUGAAGGUCUCACCAAGGGAGAGAAACGUCGUUGUAGGAUACCGUGGUGUACCGAUAUAUAUUCAGAGAAUUUAUUUAUAAUAAAAAUUCUGAAGAACGAAAACGCAUCUUCAUGUUCUCCUCCAUACACCUCCUCUUCCACGUGUUUCAACAAUAUUUCAGUCGUUGAUGUCAUUGAAAAUACGUAUACAUAGAAGACUAACGACAAAGAAACGAAGGAGGGAGCAGGGGAUUUGAAACGUAAGCGGAGAAAAUAAAACGAAAGGCAAGGUUCAUUCAACAACAGAGUCUAAUUUAAUAACAAAAUAUGAACGCUGCAUUUGUAAUAAAAUUAACCGUAAUAUUAAUAAUCGUUAAAAUAAUAAUAAUAAUAAUAAUAAAAUAAUAACUAUGGCGGCAUACAUAAUCGGUCGAGAUAACCAUAAUUAACAUAGGUAACGGAAUCCUAAUAUCGAAGAGGACGAAGCGUACGAGACAUGUAGAUUCGUGUUACAAAUUACGAUCGCUAACGAAUCGACGAUUUUGGUUCAAGAAAAAAGAAAAGUAUUUUACGACGUGUAAAAUGUGUGUCAAGACGUCGAACGUGUGAAACGAGAUCCCAGCAAAUAUCAGAAGUAAUUCGGUAACUGAAUACGUAACCACUUACGUAAAAUAUAUUUAUACGUUUCAAGGAAACAAUUCGAUGACUCCGAUAAUAUUUAAAAUAACUUUUUAACACGGUAGACGAAUUAUUGUUUCGUAUAUACGACGAAGCAGAGUAAUAUAUUGAAACAAAUAACGAUACGAAGAUGUUAUUUGAAAAUAUUUAACAGUCGGUUAAAGAUACUGUUUGCUGGGGUCUGUUCGAGCGUGAUCGACGAAGAAAGAAGGAGGAGGGGAUAGACAGGUAUUCGACCGAGUAACAACGAAUUGGAUGGAAAAAGAAAGGAACAUAAAACGCGAUGUUCACUGACAAUUACCUUAUCUGCCGCUCGUUUAUCGAACCGUCGUUUACCUAUCAGUCACCUAAAUUCGAACGUAUCUUUACAUAUGUAUUUGCGAGAUAGUUUAUCUUCUACUUGGUGAACCGUACGUCGACACGUGAUUAAUCACGAGAACUUGAUGGGAUAUAUUCAGUGGUAUAAUCGUAAUCAAUGAACACGUUAUAGAACAAUUAUAAAAAUAGUUAAAAUUAGACAUGGUAAAAACAAAUAAUUAUAAUUGAAGGAUAGUUUCAGUUAAACCGAUGAGUCAGAAAACGAUGAUUAUACCUUUUGGGUAAUUAAACGAGAUAGGAAUAAGUAUUUGAAGAAUAAUCGUAGUUAACUAGGAGAUUAAUAAUAUUUGUUAUCCAGACGAUUGGAUGACAUAGGAACAAAUAUUUGGAACAAAGUAAUCACAAGUAACGGUAAUAAUAAAAAAAACAACAAAACGAAAUUAGUAACAAAAUGUGCGGUUCCGUAAGAACAGCUAAACGAUAAAUAGCUAAAGCUAAAGAUGAUUAAAUGGAAGCUAAGAAUGUCAGAACGAGCGACAGACGAGGAAGAACGUGGUACGAUGCAGAACCGGAAGUGUAUAACGGGAACGGGUGUGUAUUUCCUUGUUUUAUUUCUCUGAACAUUAGGACAAAAUUGUAAUCAAUCGCUUAUCCGUUUACCGUAAAUCCAAUAAUGUCUGUAAUAAUGAAUUAGCGUUAUAUUAAAUGUACCGAUGAGAGAUUUUUUUUUCUUUUAAUAAUUCACACAUUUUUCUCUAUUCGACGCUCUCAUUCCAUUCUCUCAUUCUCACACUCGCUCUAUCGUAUAUUCGCACGCAUUCUCACGCUGAUUUUCGUUCUUUCUUCCCUUUCCAGUUGGCGAUUUCACCAACAUGGGCGAGAUCGAUCGACGUUUCGUCCACAAAUGGAUCAAGGUUCGAGCUAAUCGUUAGAUCUACCAAAAGCCAGGCUUCGUAGAAACGCUCUUUGCCUUCGAAACGUUGAUUCGAUGCUUUCAAAUACGCGACACCGGAUAGAAUACAGAAAUCGGAAGCAGACAACUUGAUCUACAAUCCUGCCGCGUCGAAUCCAUCGUCUAUCGAUCAUCGAUCGUCGCGUGACUUAACGAUUUCCACUUUAAAAAGCUUCGUGACGCUAAUAGAGCAGAAUUUGUUAAUAGAACUAAGAGAUUAGAUUACUAUUAAUAUAAUUAGAUUACCGUGUAAUGCUUUUUUUUUUAUCGAUAAUGAUCUAUUGGAAGCUAAACUCGAUAUCGAAGCAGAUUAUAAAUCAGUCGUAAUCAAAGUGGGGAAAUCCUAGUCUAGAUAUUUCGAACGUUUUCAUGUCCUUCAAGUAGAAUUAUGGAAUUUACGCGGCUGUAGACUACAAUAGAAAGCUACAUAUUACAAUUUAGGCGAAGAGAAAUGGAGAAUAGCGAGAAGAUCGAUGAUCGAGAAUUGUAGAAUUUUAGAAACUUCUU